rnacentral:tRNA from 1 species
GACGAGGUGACCGAGCGGUAAAGGGGAAGGACUGCUAAUCCAUUGUGCAUAGCACGCAUGGGUUCGAAUCCCAUCCUCGUCG